CCCCUUCUAGAUCUAUUGUGUGCCUACUGGGAACUAACAAUUGGUAUCAGAGCAGGUUCUCAUGCUAUAUUCAAAAGCUAAUCGCUUUGAGUCUGAUCUUAGGCACAAAUAUUGUUCUAAACUUAGUUUAGUAGUAAGUCACUUGUAAAUGCAGAUGAGCUCACACGUUGAAAAUAUUGUGUACAAGUAAAUGUGUAUAAAUACCUGAAGCUGCUCAUAUUGGUCCAUGUUCUUAAAUACAAUGACAACAAGACCAAUCCUUGUCCACAAUCAAUCUUGUAGUCUGAAGACCAGGCGAGGAAGCUCAAGAGACAUCAACAGCAAAGAGUUAAGCAUCCAUCAGCCUGAAAG
rnacentral:lncRNA from 1 species